AUUAUAUGUUGACUGAAACAGGCAACAAGCUAUGAAAUUGAAGGAUUUUUUUUUUGUCUUUUUUGGAGAGGAACAGGGGAUGAAUUCUAGUUAAUUUUUAAAGGUUACUAUCUGUGCCCUGCAGAACAGUGCACGUCCCCUGGAAUCCUGUAGCCAGGACUGAAAACAUCUUUCUGGUUUGUUUUUCAUGAUGAUCCUUGACUUUCCAGAGAAGUCAUAUAAAUGACAGGCACUGUUCCUAAAUUAAAAUAUGUUGUGGGCUAUUAACUCUUCACUCCAACACUUGGUUCUCUUAUUCCAGCCUCAGAUUCCAUUUAACACAGGAAAUAAUUCCAUUUAUUUUGACGACUUACUUUGCAUAGUCCGAGGCCAGGAAGUCUCGGGCUCUGCAAAAUGUAUUGAAAAGCCACGGAGAGAGGGAUUACUUGAAACUUCAGGAAGCUCUUUGCCCCCCCUCCCCGCCCCCCUUCUCAGCUCCACCGUUUUUAAAUCCAGGUACAUUUGUCCCAGGAAUUUGUUGGGUGAAACCCUGCAGCAAUAUUUCUCUUCAUUUCCAUGACAACAGCUCUCUAUCAACUUCUGAAGGAACUUGCCUGUAUUGUCAACAAACCUCUCCUGGCAACUGGCCUGUUUUCCUUCUCUAUCUCAUCUUCCAUCUGCUCAAAGGCUUCGCUUCAAAAAGAAGUAGGUUGCAGGAGCUUUCGUUCAAGACGAAAGUGGCUGUUAUAGAAACUGUUUUCAGGACACAGCCAGAACCUUACCAAUAAUCAAGGGUUCCUGAGGAGCUGAGGAGGGGCCACCUAGGCGAUAAUACUAGAAGAAGGAUCUUCCCACAGAACUUCAGAUUUCGUUAAGUCCCCAGGGCCACCUCAUAGUUCCAAGUACUUUCAUGCCUUUAUCCC